GCAUCGAGGUGGAAGAGGCUGCGGAUUCCCGGGUCCGGGACCCGGUAGUCGGUGAAGCGCAACGGGAGCGGCGCUUCCGGAGGCGCCGUUAGUGCU
rnacentral:tRNA from 1 species